CAGUCGCCGCGGUAAUACGUAGGUCCCGAGCGUUGUCCGGAUUUAUUGGGCGUAAAGCGAGCGCAGGCGGUUAGAUAAGUCUGAAGUUAAAGGCUGUGGCUUAACCAUAGUACGCUUUGGAAACUGUUUAACUUGAGUGCAGAAGGGGAGAGUGGAAUUCCAUGUGUAGCGGUGAAAUGCGUAGAUAUAUGGAGGAACACCGGUGGCGAAAGCGGCUCUCUGGUCUGUAACUGACGCUGAGGCUCGAAAGCGUGGGGAGCAAACAGGAUUAGAUACCCCCGUAGUCCCUGUCUCUUAUACC
rnacentral:rRNA from 1 species